GUUUGAUCAUGGCUCAGGAUGAACGCUGGCGGCGUGCCUAAUACAUGCAAGUCGAGCGAACAGAUAAGGAGCUUGCUCCUUUGAAGUUAGCGGCGGACGGGUGAGUAACACGUGGGUAACCUACCUAUAAGACUGGGAUAACUUCGGGAAACCGGAGCUAAUACCGGAUAACAUUUAGAACCGCAUGGUUCUAAAGUGAAAGAUGGUUUUGCUAUCACUUAUAGAUGGACCCGCGCCGUAUUAGCUAGUUGGUAAGGUAACGGCUUACCAAGGCGACGAUACGUAGCCGACCUGAGAGGGUGAUCGGCCACACUGGAACUGAGACACGGCCCAGACUCCUACGGGAGGCAGCAGUAGGGAAUCUUCCGCAAUGGGCGAAAGCCUGACGGAGCAACGCCGCGUGAGUGAUGAAGGGUUUCGGCUCGUAAAACUCUGUUAUUAGGGAAGAACAAAUGUGUAAGUAACUGUGCACAUCUUGACGGUACCUAAUCAGAAAGCCACGGCUAACUACGUGCCAGCAGCCGCGGUAAUACGUAGGUGGCAAGCGUUAUCCGGAAUUAUUGGGCGUAAAGCGCGCGUAGGCGGUUUCUUAAGUCUGAUGUGAAAGCCCACGGCUCAACCGUGGAGGGUCAUUGGAAACUGGGAAACUUGAGUGCAGAAGAGGAAAGUGGAAUUCCAUGUGUAGCGGUGAAAUGCGCAGAGAUAUGGAGGAACACCAGUGGCGAAGGCGACUUUCUGGUCUGUAACUGACGCUGAUGUGCGAAAGCGUGGGGACCAAACAGGAUUAGAUACCCUGGUAGUCCACGCCGUAAACGAUGAGUGCUAAGUGUUAGGGGGUUUCCGCCCCNUUAGUGCUGCAGCUANCGCAUUAAGCACUCCGCCUGGGGAGUACGACCGCANGGUNGAAACUCAANGNAUUGACGGA
rnacentral:rRNA from 1 species